rnacentral:lncRNA from 1 species
CCAGGAGAAUCAUGCUCUUGAGUAAGCUGCAUAGAGCUGAGAAAACUCACUGAGCUAAGAAUAUGAAGGGGGCUAGCCAGCUGCCAUGUUUAUUUUUAAUAUGAGAAAGAUCUGCUUUUGUAACAUGUAGCUCACAACGCACAAGCUAGCUUGCUUCCAAACGGAAAUAUUUUUGUCAGUGGAAUGAAAUAAUUCCCUGGAAACUUCUGCGAGUUCCCAGUGUGUCUCUUCAGAUAUUUUAUGUGCUGAAAACAAAGCUGGGACCUCUGCAGGCUGAGUCUCUUCCUUCUGAAGUGUCGCAUGCCAGGCAAGUGGGAGCAGGACAUUACCUGCGAUUCUCAGCCGGAACACGGUGGGGCCAUCAUGUCUGUAUAAUUCAGCCAUGCAGGAAGCUGGCAGAGUAUCAGGUUCACUUGGACGUGGAAACCCUGAGUCUCUGAGAGGGGCCAGAGAGAAAGCAAAUGUUCAGCUGAGGAUGAAGUUCCCGUAGGAAACAGCUCAAAGACCUCAUGAAAGUGGGACUUACAGCUUCCUUGAUCAGGCUCAGCAUUCAAGGCUGUUCCUGUGUGAAAAAAAAAAAUCAGCAUUCCUCUGCCACACCUGAAAACUCUACCUUGGCACUGUGUGUUCAGUGUUCAGCAAAGGGCCUGGUAUGUAGGAAGCAUCCAUUAACUGCAUGAGUAAAUGAAACAAGAGUCCUUGAGUAGC